GGCUGGAUCACCUCCUUAAUCGACGACAUCAGCUGCUCCAUAAGUUCCCACACGAAUUGCUUGAUUCAUUGAAGAAGACGAUAAGAAGCAGCCCUAACAGGUUGUAGCUUAGUUGGUUGGAACGCACCCCAUGCUCUGAGGUAAAGAGCAGGGUGAGGUCGGCCUUAAAGCUCGAAAUUGGGUCUGUAGCUCAGUUGGUUAGAGCGCACCCCUGAUAAGGGUGAGGUCGGCAGUUCGAAUCUGCCCAGACCCACCAAUUUUGUGUGGGAACCUGUAGAAAUACGGGGCCAUAGCUCAGCUGGGAGAGCGCCUGCCUUGCACGCAGGAGGUCAACGGUUCGAUCCCGUUUGGCUCCACCACUACUGCUUCUGUUUGUUGAAAGCUUAGAAAUGAGCAUUCCAUCGUGAUGAUGGUGAAUGUUGAUUUCUAGUCUUUGGCUAGAUCGUUCUUUAAAAAUUUGGGUAUGUGAUAGAAAGAUAGACUGGACGUUACUUUCACUGGUAACGGCUCAGGCUAAGGUAAAAUUUGUGAGUUGCUCUUUAUGAGCAAGAAUCGAAUUUUCGGCGAAUGUCGUCUUCACAGUAUAACCAGAUUGCUUGGGGUUAUAUGGUCAAGUGAAGAAGCGCAUACGGUGGAUGCCUUGGCAGUCAGAGGCGAUGAAAGACGUGGUAGCCUGCGAAAAGCUUCGGGGAGUCGGCAAACAGACUUUGAUCCGGAGAUGUCUGAAUGGGGGAACCCAGCCAUCAUAAGAUGGUUAUCUUAAGCUGAAUACAUAGGCUUAAGAGGCGAACCAGGGGAACUGAAACAUCUAAGUACCCUGAGGAAAAGAAAUCAA
rnacentral:misc_RNA from 1 species